rfam:Mustela putorius furo unplaced genomic scaffold scaffold00192, whole genome shotgun sequence.
AGCUUUGCACAGUGGCAGUAUCGUAGCCAAUGAGGUUUAUCCAAGGCGCAAUUAUUGCUAAUUAAAAACUUUUCCCAAUACCCUGCCAUGACGACUUGAAGAGUGAGUCAAUAGGAAAAAAAAAAA